UACAGAGGGUGCAAGCGUUGUUCGGAAUUACUGGGCGUAAAGGGCUCGUAGGCGGCCAACUAAGUCAGACGUGAAAUCCCUCAGCUUAACUGAGGAACUGCGUCUGAUACUGGAUGGCUUGGAUUUGGGAGAGGGAUGCGGAAUUCCAGGUGUAGCGGUGAAAUGCGUAGAUAUCUGGAGGAACACCGGUGGCGAAGGCGGCAUCCUGGACCAAUAUUGACGCUGAGGAGCGAAAGCUAGGGGAGCAAACGGG
rnacentral:rRNA from 1 species